rnacentral:rRNA from 1 species
GUCUAUGGCCAUGCCACCCUGAACAAGCCCGAUGUCUGAUCUUGGAAGCUAAGUAGGGUCGGGCCUGGUUAGUACUUGAAUGGGAGACCACCUAGAAAGACCAGGUGCUGUAGGCA